AACGAUCCAACUUUUCUAACUAAGUCGAAGUCAUUAAUUUCAAACAAAGACCUUAGUUUACACAAAAUAUCAAAUUCAAAUAAAAUCAAACUCUCAAGGAAAACAAAAUUUAAAUUCGGGCCUUGUUUAAAAUAACCAAAAAAAAAAAAAAAAAAAAUUUCAAGGAAAGGCUUACAAAUCGUUAGUUCGUGAAUUCAGUUAACCCACAAAGUUUUCUAACAGUCUCGAGUACUAAAACGUAAUAAGAAAAUCAAACAUUAAGCGGAAACAAAUUAAAAUACCCCUAUGGCAAUCACGCUUCCUUCCUGCCCCUCGUCGGUCUGCUUCCCUCGUUACCUUUGCCUGAAAAAGUUAAACAUAAAAGGGGUGAGUAUAAAUAUACCUAGUAAGAGACUCGCUACUGGUCCCGUUAGGGGAAAAAUAAAAUAUUAACUUCCUAUGGAGUACCCUGCACAGUUACAGCCUUGUGAUCCCGUAGGAUACACAUAAUCAAUCUAACAUCCGAAGGAUGCAUAAAGCAGUCUAGUGUUAUGCAAAAACACAUAUCAGUCUAGUGCUCCCGAAGGAUGCACAUGUCAUUCUAGUGCUCUCGAAGGAUGCACAUAAAGGGUGGUGAUGACCAUAUACUGAACAUCUACGAUACGUUUGAUCCUAGUUAACUUUACAAUGAUCUAGUUGAUAGUCUUCCUAUUUGUUGAGCUUCUCUUUUAGAUUGAAGGAAAGGGAAAGACUGGCUGGGUUGUGGCAAGCGAACUUCUUCGCUAUUAUGUGGAGAAAUUUAUAGGGGAGACUAGGGAGUUAGAGAGUUUUUUUGGAAAAAAAAAAAAGAGAAGGGACUUUACAUUAAGAGAAUUAAAAAAAAAAGACCAAUGUUCAAAGAAGUGAAAAAGAGCAACAUAGCACAAAAAAAAAGACAUAGGAACAUAAAGUAAAAAGUAAGCUAGAGAGGUGAUAAGGAUAAUUAGUAUAUUUUAGUUAAUUGGUUAAUUGUCUUAUUUUCCUGUAAGGCUAUAGAUAGCCAAUUUAGGAGUGUAUUUGAACCUCUUGAAUAUCUUUCCAAUAUAGAACGUUAUUCUUGGAGAGCUUUUUCUCAUCUCUAAGGAAUGAGAUUUCUCUUGUUCCAGAAUGGAUUUGGCCUGGUACUCCAACCUGUUGCAUCAAGAGGUUUAAUUAUUCUGUUUGGGCAUUUAUCACCAGGAAUUUUUGUAAUUGUGAUAAUGGUCUUGUUCUUUUUUAUUAGAUUGUUUGAUGUGAUUAGUCAUUGACUCCUUUUUAUGAGUAUUAUGUCUUUUUUUUUUUGUUUUUCUUAUUGCAAUUUGGUUUUGGUAUUUCUGUUGUAUGUCUUUUUAUUAUUAUUAUUGCAAUUUGGUUUUGGUAUUUCGGUUACGAAUAGAGUUUUGUUUGCCCUUGGUUCUUUUUUUUUUUUUCACAAUAAAAGUUUGGUUGCUUAAAUAAAAUGGUUCUCUGGACAGAAGUGAAUUGUGAGUUUACUGAAUUUGGUAAAUUUAGAAGCAUUCCUCUGUGCAUCCUCUAGUAGAUUUUGGAUUUUCCUCUUCCACUGUAAUGGAAUUGGACCGAGAAAAGUUAAUGUGUUCCAGUUAUUUUACGGUGCUGGCACUUACAUGUUUGGAAUUGAUGAUGAACGAGUAAUUGAUGCUAUAAGGUCUGGAAGCAUUGCUCAUUUGAUCAACCACUCUUUCGAAGUAUGUAUUACUUUAACAAUUCAUUUACUUUUUAUUUUUUCCUUUUAUGUUAAUGUUCUUUAUCCUUAUGAGAUGACUCAUUAAAUUAGGUGUCAAUAGAAUUAUCUUAUAUCAUAGUGCUCUAUGGAGAUGAAUGCAAGUUAGCUAAAUUUUUCCUUAGAUGCUUGGAAGUUAGAAGAGAAAUUUAACUCUCGUUUUUCUCUCAAGGACUAAGCUAUCUUAUUCAUACACAGUAACUGUUGCUCCUCACAAAGUGUUUAAGGAUAAAUAAAGGUUCAAAUUAGAAGUGGACGUCCAUUAGUUUUGGUAUGUAUUUAAAUUAUUUUAAAUCUAAGUAUCUGAUUUCCUAAUAGUUGAAAACCUUAGUUUAUUGACAAGAAAUCAAAUGGUUACUUCUGAAGUUGGCUGAUUGUAUUUGGUUAUGUCUAAUAAUGAGAAUGACUUUACCUUAAGGGGAUAGAUUUUAGUUUUGGUAUCUCCAAUUGAGAAUUUAGCCAUUGUGCUUACUCUUUAUGGAGUAUCUAAAGACAAGAAAUCGACACUCCAAUACUAUGAAAAUUUUCCUAUAAGGUAACAUUUAUAGUCUCAUGUUCAUUUGGUAUGUUAUUUUAUUUGCUUACUUUGUAAUACUAUUCUAUUUUAGAGCUAUUUAGUCAAUUGAUUGUAAAUUCUGACUACAGCUGAUGAUAUACGUGGGGAAGAUAUCCAAAUGUCACAAAAGUCAGCAUCUUUGGUGUACCGAUUUCUCACCUGCAAGCAAUUUCUUCCUUAAGGGGAUAGACUUUAGUUUUGGUCUACCACACAUGUUUUUGGUUAUAUAAGAUAGUUAUUAUUAUUGUCAGUUUUGGAAUAAGCUACAUGUAGGAAAUUCUACUUGACUAUAUUAUAUUGGAAUUGUGUAAUUUUUGAUGAUAUUAUUGAGAUUAAUAAAAUUAUUGUUGGUUUACUUAUUAUACUAAAUUAUUUGUCAUUUUUUUGUUGUGUAAAUACUGGUUAGAGAGUUUAUUUUGUUGAUAGAUAUGUUUUAUUGAAACGAAUGUAUGUAAUGCAGAAAAUAGGAAAUGGAAAAUUUUGUAUAUUUUAUAUAUUAAUAAAUGGUAUACAUAACGUUAAAUACAUGUCAAAUAUAUGAUCUUACUUUAAUUAAAUAUACAAUUUUACUUGAUGGUUAAAUAGUGUCAAGUAUACAAUCUUACUUGAUGGACAAAUAGUGUCAAAUAUAUCAUCUUACUUGACGUGUAAAUGGUGUUAAGUAUACAAUCUUACUUGACGUUUAAAAACCAUCAAGUAUACUACUUUACUUGAUACAUAAAAAACGUCAUGUAUACGACCUUACUUGACAUGUAAUAAACGUCAAGUGAGAUAGAUUAUUUGAUGUAAAUACAGUGUCAACUAAACGUAUAAUUGACGAUUUUUUAGUGUCAAGUAAUGUGACUAUACUUGACAGUUGAUUACUUGACGCUUUUAAAAAUGUCAAGUAUAUGUUUACUUGACACCGUAUUGACGUCAAGUAACCAAUUUCUGUAGUAGUGACCUCACUAACUAUAGAGGGUCGAGACCAACUGGUAACAACUUCAAUCUUUAAAGGAUCCACAUAAACUCCCUCACUAGAUACCACAUGACCAAGGAAAGCCACUUGCUUCAACCAAAAUUCGCACUUUGAGAAUUUAGCAUAAAGUUUAUUGGCUCGAAGAGUCUCUAAAACUUUAUGUAAAUGCUCCUCAUGUUCAGUCUUUCUCUUGGAGUAAACCAAGAUAUCAAUACUAUUACAAAAGUGUCUAAGAAAUUCUUAAACACCUUGUUCAUCAAAUCCAUAAAUACUAUAGGUGCAUUGGUCAAACCAAAAGAUAUUACAAUGAAUUCAUAAUGUUCAUAGCUCGAACGAAAAGCAGUCUUAGGAAUAUCACUAUCUCUAAUCCUCAACUGGUGAUAACCUGAGCGCAAGUCAAUCUUAGAGAAUACAGUGACUCCUUGUAACUGAUCAAACAAAUCAUCGAUUCUAGGUAAAGGAUACCUGUUCUUGAUCGUUACAGCUCUCUAUAGUCAAUGCAAAGACGCAUCGACCCAUCCUUCUUCUUCACAAACGGUACUGAUGCACCCCAAGGCGACACACUAGGUCGAAUAAAAUCUUUGUCAAGCAACUCAUGUACCUUCGGUUCUUUCAAUUCAGCAGGAGGCAUCCUAUAAGGAGCUAUAGAAAUAAGAGUAGUGUCUAGCUCCAACUCAAUGGCAAAAUCAAUCUCCCAGUGAGGCGUAAGUCCUGGAAUCUCUUCUGAAAACACAUAUGGGAAUUCUCUUACCACAAGUUCUGAGUAUCCACCGCACUGGCCAAAAUACUUAGGUACCCUGGUUAAGCAGUUUACUAGCUUUCAUAGCUGAAAUCACUUUAGGUAGUACCACUGUUUCUACCCCUUUGAAUUUAAAACUAGGCUCGGUAGGAGGACUGAACACUACCUCCUUACAAGAAGAAUCCAUGCUAGCAUGAUUAACAACUAACCAAUCCAUGCCUAAGAUUACAUCAAAGUCACACAUAUCCCAACACUAACAAAGUUACGUCCAACACAUGACCAGUUAUUUCAAUUUUACAUGCUUUGACAUUUUCCUUAGACAACAUAAUUUCCCUAGACGGUGUUGACACUGAUAAAACAUUGUCUAAGAACUCCACCUCUAAGCAUGCAUGUAUUACAAAUAACGAAGAAAUAAAAGAAUGAGAAGAUCAUGAGUCAAACAAAGUUAAGGCAAAGUGCCCUAACACUGGUAGCGUACCUGUCACCACUAUGCCAGCCUUCUCUGCCUUUGAUCUACGAGUGGCAAAAACUUUACCCCGUUGUGGAGUUCUCACUCCCUGACUGCUCUGUCAAGUCUCAGUAGAUCUCAAGGGACAACGAUCAACCAUGUGUCCCUCUUGCUUGCAUUUGAAGCAAACUCUGGUUCCAACCAAACAACGGCCCAGAUGGCGCUUCCCACACGUGUUGCAUAGUGGCUUCUCUAGUAGUGUCCCCUGCCCCACCAGAACUCUGUUGGAAACUGCGAAAAGGACCACCCGAUCUCAAGUUUCUCUGAGGAACUUUCAUAAAACCUCUACUCUACUUUUCUUUUCUGGCCAGACGACGUUCCCUUAUCAGAACUCUUUGCAUGAACUUCGUCCUUUCCAAUACUCAUAUCCACUGCUAGAUGUAGUGCUUCAGCCUGAGUGGUGGGCUUUAGUGCUCGCACAAAGCCUCUGAUCUCAUCCCUCAAUCCUUUAACAAACCUCUCAGCUAUGGUCUGCUCAUUACCAACAAGCUCAGGGGCAAAGCGCAACAUCAUGUCGAACUCUUGGUCAUACUCCUCAACUGCCAUGUGUCAUUGCUUCAAUUCCAAGAAUUCCUGGCUUUUAGCAUCUCUAAGGUUAGCCAAGAAAAACUUGGUAUAAAAGCAGUCUCUAAACUGAUCUCAAGUAAUCUGUCUCACAUUCCCACCUAACAUACGCAUCGUGGACCUCCACCAGAUGAUACCUCUGUCCCUGAAGAGAAAAGCAGCACAUUGAACCCUAUGCUCCUCCGGACACCUCAUGUAGUUAAAUAUGGUUUCCACAUAAGACAACCACAACUCUGCCUUGGUAGGAUCCUCCAGUGAUCCAUCAAAAGUCUGAGGGUCAUAUUUCCUAAAGUCUCUCAAGUGUUUCGCCUCGGCAGAAAGCUGAUUUAGUAGUAUAUGUGGCUGCUGUGCAGCCAGUCCCUGUGCAGGGAGGGCCACAAGUGUAUAUGGAGCUGCUGAUACAGAGGGGGCCACGAUGUAGGCAGAACAGCUGGUGCCUGCUGGUUAGCCAUAGCAUCCAUAAGCUCCAUGAACCUCUUCUCCAUGUGAGCGACCAGUGCAGCCAAACCAGUGUGAGUCACUAGUGCAGCAGGAAUUUGUUAUUCAGGUUUACUCUCAGCAGGUUGAUUACGCCUUGCGCCUCUACCCCUACCUCUGCAACCUCCUCUACGUACACCUAUUUUUGGUGGCAUAAAUUCCUAUUAUCCACCAAUAACUCUCUUUUAAUAGUCUUAAACAAUAAGUAUUUCAUACAGUCUAGUUUAACUUAGGCAAAGUCAUGAAAAUAAACCAUACAUACAAGCAUAAAGCAUACCUAACGAGAGACGAAGGGUCGCGUUAGCCAUAGGGACACAAAAACAUAGACUUACAUCAUAAGUCAGUCUACAGAACCUAAAACUCUGCUCUGAUACCAACUAUAACGACCCAACUUUUCUAACUAAGUAGAAGUCAUUAAUUUCGAAAAAAGACCUUAGUUUACACAAAAUAUCAAAUUCAAAUAAAAUCAAACUCUCAAGGAAAACAAAAUUUAAAUUUGGGCUCUAUUUAAAAUAACAAAAAAAAGAAAAAAAGAACUUUCAAGGAAAGGCUUACAAAUCGUUAGUUCGUGAAUUCAGUUAACCCACAAAGUUUUCUAAACAGUCUCGAGUACUAAAACGUAAUAAGAAAAUAAAACAUUAAGCGGAAGCAAAUUAAAAUAUCCCCUAUGACAAUCACGUUUCCUUUCUGCCCCUCGCCGGUUUGCCUCCCUUGUUACCUUUGCCUCUCCCUUAUUACCUUUGCCUGAAAAAGUUAAACAUAAAAGGGGUGAGUAUAAAUAUACCCAGUAAAAGACCCGCUACUGGUCCCAUUAGGGGAAAAAUAAAUUAUUAACUUCCUAUGGAGUACCUUGCACAGUCACAGACUUGUGAUCCAAUAGGAUACACAUAAUCAGUCUAACACCCCGAAGGACGCAUAAAACAGUCUAGUGUUCUGCAGAAACACAUAUCAGUCUAGUGCUCCCAAAGGAUGCACAUAUCAGUCUAGUGCUCUCAAAAGAUGCACAUAAAGGGUGAUAAUCCUAUAGGACACCUGCAGGGUAACUACCCAAUAGGAAACUAAUAAUUUUUUCCCUAAGUCCAUUCUAAACAUCUUAUCAGUCAAUCAUAAUACAGUCAAAUUACCUGAACACAUGAUCCCUUCACUUAAUACCCUAACAGUCAACUUAGUGCAUUUUAGCCCAAGUCAGUCAGUAACAUAUCAACACAUCAGUCAAACAAACUAAGUAAUCAUAACAUCCCCUUAGUUCACUAGCACACAACCAUACUUGAUAUAACUUACACCCGGUCCACAUGACAGCCAACAAGUUCACAUUCACAUAUUAUAUAAGCAACAUCCACAAUUUGCAGUCAUUUCACAUCCAAAAGUGUAUAUAUAUCACAACUGACGUACAAUCUCAAUUUAGUGAUAACAUACCGUCAACAUAUUCUACUUUAUAGGUGAGUCCAGUAGUAGAAAAUCUCUUACCUCAAGGUUCCUCAAUUUCUCGAACAACUAUAUCCAACGAAAGACACCUAACCAUAAGAAUAAAAUAACUCAAUUAUUUCCACAAAACAACUCCCACCUAAUUUCCUCAAGGCAAAAAUUUAGCUUACCAAGGUAUUGGCGAACCAAGCUCAAAAUUCACAAAUUGGUUGUGAAUUCAAGUGACCCAACAUUAUUGCCAACACCUUCAAGAAUCAAAUAACAAAUUAAUCAACUAUUCCAACCAUAACGUUUGAACACUUAAAACAAUUACAAUCCAUAACCUAAAUUAUUACCAAUAAAACAACUUUGACGAUUCACAGACGAAAGAAGCAGCGACUAUCGAUCCCAAUGAAAAUAAUCGUGCAAACUUAUCUGAGUGUAAGCUGGCUUGUAACUCACAGUUGGAAGUCGAAAAGUCGUGGCGGCGCGGGGCAUUGGGCGGACGGUUGAUGAAGCGAGCGGCGACUUCAUGAAUCGGGACAAACGAAGACGGAAUGAAAAAACUAAGCGACGACGCUUCGACUUUAGCCCGACGAACGGUGGCGUGCACGGCCGCUGGGCUUUGUCAGACAGAAAAGAAGAAGAUGGUGGCAGAACGUUUCAGCUUCGACAGAGACAGCACCGAUGACGGCGGUGGCUACCGAAGACAUUGCUUUGUGGCGUGACUGGCCGAAACAGGAGAAUGGGGGAAAGAUUUUGGAGGCAGGCGGUGACUGGGUAAAGAAGAGAUGAGGCGAGGGGGGGG
rnacentral:lncRNA from 1 species